rnacentral:rRNA from 1 species
AUUGAACGCUGGCGGCAGGCCUAACACAUGCAAGUCGAACGAGUGGCGGACGGGUGAGUAAUGUCUGGGAAAAUGCCUGAUGGAGGGGGAUAACUACAGGAAACGGUAGCUAAUAACGCAUACCAGCGGAUGUGCCCAGAUGGGAUUAGCUUGUUGGUGGGGUAACGGCUCCCCAAGGCGACGAUCCCUAGCUGGUCUGAGAGGAUGACCAGCCACACUGGAGCUUGGACACGGUCCAGCCUCCUACGGGAGGCGGCAGUGGGGAAUAUUGCACAAUGGGCGCAAGCCUGAUGCAGCCAUGCCGCGUGUAUGAAGAAGGCCUUCGGGUUGUAAAGUACUUUCAGCGGGGAGGCGUUACCCGCAGAAGAAGCACCGGCUAACUCCGUGCCAGCAGCCGCGGUAAUUC